CCUGCCCCUAGAGACACUGCAAGUGUGGCUCCUGUGUCACAUGUGCAUCAGUAGGUGUCAGAGAGGAGAGAGGCUAUGUCUACAGUUCUGACCUAUGGACAUCUGAAGGAUUAGGAGCCCAACCUU